rnacentral:rRNA from 1 species
GAUGAACGCUGGCGGCGUGCUUAACACAUGCAAGUCGAACGAAGCACUUUAUUUGAUUUCCUUCGGGACUGAUUAUUUCGUGACUGAGUGGCGGACGGGUGAGUAACGCGUGGGUAACCUGCCUUGUACAGGGGGAUAACAGUUGGAAACGGCUGCUAAUACCGCAUAAGCGCACAGCAUCGCAUGAUGCAGUGUGAAAAACUCCGGUGGUAUAAGAUGGACCCGCGUUGGAUUAGCUAGUUGGUGAGGUAACGGCCCACCAAGGCGACGAUCCAUAGCCGACCUGAGAGGGUGACCGGCCACAUUGGGACUGAGACACGGCCCAAACUCCUACGGGAGGCAGCAGUGGGGAAUAUUGCACAAUGGGCGAAAGCCUGAUGCAGCGACGCCGCGUGAGCGAAGAAGUAUUUCGGUAUGUAAAGCUCUAUCAGCAGGGAAGAUAAUGACGG